UUUAACAGCAACAGAGAAAAAAAAAUCAGGAAAGACCAUGGUUUUGCAAAUAUAUCUGACCUGGCUUCUCUUUUCCAUGUUUGAAGAAUCCAGUGGGCAGAUUGUUAUCACUCAGACACCUGCUUCCGUGACGGUGCUUCCAGGAGAGACGGUCACCAUUCAGUGCAAGGCAUCCAGCUCAAUGAGUGAUGAUAUGAGCUUAUUUCUGUUUAAAUCAGGACAAAAUCCCAAGCUCCUCAUACAUGAUGCAAACAGCCGUUUCACUGGGGUCCCGGAUCGAUUCACUGGUAGUUACAGUGGCACUGACUUCACAUUCACCAUUAGUGGUGUGCAGGUUGAAGAUGCAGGAGAAUACUAUUGUGGGCAAGAUAACAGCACCCCUCUCACAAUGAUACAGUUCAAUACAAAAACCUGUAUGGUGCCACUGCACACACCAUGUAGUGUAAAGCAGAAAGAAGCAGCUGUGUACCUAUCAGUCUGGCUUGAAAGUAACCUUUAAAAUGUUAUUGUUUAACUGGUCUCUUAGGUGUUUUAGAUUCAGUCCUGUUGCUGAAAAAUAACUUUACCUGCAAAUACUGUAACUCAGCUGGCAGGGUCAGGAAUUCUCAAGACAGGAGCUGAAAUGCACAAGCCAAUCCCUUUGUUACACAAUCCACUCAGUGCCC